UACGUAGGGGGCAAGCGUUGUCCGGAAUCAUUGGGCGUAAAGAGCGCGUAGGCGGUCCGGUAAGUCGGUUGUGAAAACUGGGGGCUCAACCCUCAGAGGCCGACCGAUACUGCCGGGCUAGAGUCCGGAAGAGGCGAGUGGAAUUCCUGGUGUAGCGGUGAAAUGCGCAGAUAUCAGGAGGAACACCAAUUGCGAAGGCAGCUCGCUGGGACGUAACUGACGCUGAGACGCGAAAGCGUGGGGAGCAAACAGG
rnacentral:rRNA from 1 species